AUCGCUUCUCGGCCUUUUGGCUAAGAUCAAGUGUAGUAUCUGUUCUUAUCAGUUUAAUAUCUGAUACGUCCCCUACCCGGGACCAUAUAUUAAAUUGAUUUUUGGAUCAGGGAGCCGGAACGGGGGCUUGCUCCUUCCACUCCACGCAUCGACCCCGGUAUUGGCAUUACCUCCAGGUACGGUGCACAUUCU
rnacentral:snRNA from 1 species